AGGAGGCGUAUGAACAACUAGAACUGCUAAUUCAAACAACUAAGAAUAAAAUUCUUGGGCCUCUUA
rnacentral:tRNA from 1 species